AUGAAAACUUGCUAUAUUCCAGGCUCUGUGCAGAGCACUUUGGAUGAUGUGCUAAGAUGACUCUAAGACAUGAUCCCAACCCUCAAGAAGUUUUCAACCCUUAGAGGAGCAGAUAGAUAUGUGAAUGGAUCAUUCACGAUGAAAUGAGAGAUUUAAAAAAUAUGGACGGUGAGCCUGCUUCUAACAACUCCCUCAAAAGGCUCUGUAACCCGUCCAAAAGAUGAUGUCAAGUGCUACAAGGACCCAGGUCAGCCCUGCAUCAUAGGUAACAGUUACCCCAGUGAUAAAGUUACAAGGCAGGUUUUGAAUGAGAUUGUGUUUUUAAAUGAAAGACUGGCUGGAAAUGUAGACUUGGACCAAGCAUUAAUAGAGGAAAAUUUGAGACAAACAGAGGUUAGCGUUUGGUUUCUUUGUGGUGUUCAGCAAAGGUCAGAAAAGGUUCUAAAACAGAAGGAACCCAAAGUUUCAAUGAGGAGUUGUGGUAUUCUAUUAAUACAUGAGCAUGUAGACUAGACAAAGUGAACUCUAGGUUUAGCCAAGAGUUGUUUUGUGACAUGGAAGCUUCAGUUAUUCAGCUGGAACUGGUCACUUAAUUUGGAUAAAUCCCUGAGCAGUUGAAGACCCACUGAGAGUCUCGUUUAAUUUUAUUCUAAGGGUGAAGUAACACCCUUCCAUCCCCAUGCCAACUGCUUAGGCCCAAUGGGGAGGGAAGACAUAAACAGCAGGCAUGGAGCCCGUCGGAUAGCCUUACAGAUUAACUUUAUGGUUUUCCUCCUUUACUACCAGAGUCAUGGCUGUGGAGGCAGCUCGUGAAUCAACCGGAGCCCAAAUGGCAACCAUGUUCCCAUUAUCCAUCUGUUGUGUUUCCUCACAAAGGUUUAAGUACAAGAUUGAUCGUGCAUAUCUGACAACGUGAAGUACCUCUGAGUAAAGAAACUAGAAACAGUUUCUCACUCUGGACAAAAGAAAGAGGACAUAUAUCCAGAAGACAAAUGGUGAAAAUUCAAUCCGUAAGUACAUAGAAGAUACCUGUGCUGGUAAGAAGGAAAGGAAGCACCGAGAGAUCUGGAAUUUGAAAUAAAUGGAUUGAAAGUGCCUAGACA
rnacentral:lncRNA from 12 species